AUAAUAAAAAGGAGCUGCUUUCUAAUACUUCGCUUCCUUGUAAUGCCUACGUUAACAAUAACGAGGUUCGACUUUUUGUUUUUAGAGGGAUACUGGAAAAUUUGAAAGUACAGUACCAUUGGGAAGAAAAUCACGAUAUUGAAAACGAUAUUUGCAAAUUGAACAAUAUUCCAGAUUUAUUCAUAAUUUCAUACUACGCGAAGAAUAGACUUUCAUAGGUAUAUAAAGGAAAUAUUAAGUAUAGGAAAACUCUUUUUCGUUGUAGGUGACAUAUGCUUCACGGUUGAACACAUGUAUUUUUGAACACAUAUAAAUGAAGAAGUACUCUUAUGGAGAAAAAGAAUUGAUACCUUCGAUUGACAUUAGAUAAUGUAUAUAAACUUAUGAACAAUCACUAUCAGUUUGUAUUUUAGGUGCACACGCAGAUUUGUUGGAGUUCUUAUAAAAUGUACUUCCUGUACGAACGUUUUAUUCUUCCAAAUUUUACGAUACUAUGUCUCAUAUAAUAACUAUAUGGAUUAAACGUAAUAUAAAUGAUCCGAAAAUAGACUCGAACGACAUUAAUUGUCUUUCUAUUUAUACCAAUAUCGAUAAUACAAGUAAAGCUGGAGCAAUAGUAUGCAAGAAUGGACUAUUUAUUAUUUUAAACCAAAUCAUAGCAUAUUCAGAAUGCACAGUAUUAUCAUGAAAUGUAAAUGAAUCAGUUGUAAACGAACGAUUUUACUGUAAAAUCAUUGCCACCUUUUUUUCAUCUGAAAUAUAGCAGCAAUGAGUACAUUCUUUUAAUAUAUAAUAAAACGAGAUAUCUUUAUAAAGUUACAUAUGUCAUCACUGGUAACUGUUAUCUCGUAUGACACCAAAUAUACCGUUAGUAUGGAAUGAUAUUUUUAUGAAGAUAUACUUUAAUGAUAGAUUUUAUGAAUGAAACGUUAUAUAAGAAAAAUUAUCUCUUGUUAUUCUAUGAAGUGUAGUAGCUAAUGAAGAUUAAUUUUACGAAGUAUUAGAGCAAAAGAGAAUUAAAAAAUUAAAAAGAUCUAAAUAAGAUUGUUCGUGUGGCUUAAUUAUCUCAAUUCUGGUACACCACUUGUUACAUUCUAACUAAUUAGCGCUAAACAAUAACUUGCAAAUAUUAAAGAUAUUAACACCUUAAUAUUAACACCUAAAGGUUUUCAGGAAAUUUUAUAAUAUUUGAUUAUUGUAUAUCUAGUCAUUGAUUGAUAAAAUUUCUUGUAUAAGCAUAGAUCGAGGUUGACGUCAUACGCAGACUGCAUUACAGGUAUCGUUUUAAUUUAUUUUAUGGCUAGAAUCAUUUGAAUAUUAUACGAAUAAUUAUUUCCAUUCGAACGAUUAAUAAAUCACGUACCUAUAAAAGAUAUAUUAUGAAAAAGACGUGACGAAACAAAAAAAUAUUGGAAAUUCCGUUGUCAUUAGAUCAAUUAUUUUUGCAAUGAUUUUUAUUUCCAUGUAAUUACAUAUGAAAUGGGUAAUUCAUUAACAUCUCCUCGAAUCGAAUAUAAUUCGUUACACUUCACAACGAUUCAAAUAAUGGACGGGAAAUAUAUAAUAACUUUCCUGUCCUUGCGUUAAAACAGUACUGUACAAAUCAGAUGAUACAACCUAACCCCAACCUAACCCCAAAAAACCCAAUUACAUCCACAUUGCAUGACAGCACACUUGCAAUGGAUUUUUGUGAUUUCAAUGUCACAGACAAUGACACAACUAAUCAGAACACGUUCGAGGCUAUAGACAUUGAAAUUACCGCGUGUUUAAUACGUUUAAAGCAUAAAUCUAAAUUUCACGCGAUUAUUUCUUUGUACAUUGUGAAACUCUUAAAUUAUCUUAAUCGAAUAAAUAAUCCUAAUGUAAUAAAACAUCUUGAAAUAGACCUAGAUAUCUGAAACAGAAACUCGAAGGAUAAGAAAUCCUAAAAGGUACUAAUCCUAAAAUAACAAACUCCUAAAUAAUAAACAAGUGAUAAAACCUGUUAUAAAUAAUAAACCUUACCUGGAAUAAUCAAAUCCUAACUAAUCGAAAAUAAAAUAAGGCAAGCAAUUCUUAAUCUUUCAAGUAAUUUUUCCGAAAACACAGAAAGAUAGAGAAAUUAAAAAGACGCAGCACAAAUUGCAGCACAAUGAAAGUUUCAGAGCGAUGAAUACGAUCGUAUUAAACUAAAUAAUUUUCAAAAGUGAAAUUACACUGAAACGUAUAUCGAUGAUAUUUGUCAUUUCUACGAUCUGUUUCGCUUGAUCGUGCUUCUUUUCUGAUGUAAAUUCAAUUUAUAAUACGAACUAAGUUUCCUUUAUUAUUAUUAGUCCUGCGUCUUUUUAAUUCGUCACUUCUUUUAUUUCAGAACAAUGACGGGCUCCAAGAUGCUGUUCGGAUGUUUGGCGUUAAUUGCUUUUCUGCAUCCAUUAGUUCACGUUUGUACUUCGAGUAGUACAGCUCAAGGUUUGUACUUCGAGUUGUCUUUUUCCAUGCACUUCAAAUUCCAAUACGAUCUGGUCACGUGGCCUUCGUACAAUUUCGAAAUUUUACCUGUUUGGUAAUCGUCAAUGAAAAAAGAAGUUAUGCGUGACCUCAACACAUUGAAACAAUUUUUAUGAUUUUUUAUUUGCCGGUUGGUCAGCAAGUUAAUGGAAAAAUUUCACUUAACUAUUCGCGUUAAUUUCUUCGGUUUAACUUUUGGGAAAUGCUUCGUUAGCUUCGGGAAUAUUCCAACGAUUCGUUUUACGUACAAAAUAAGCAUGAUAAAUAUUACAUCACGGUAAUGAAAACUAUUGGCGUAAUACCUAAGAUAAAGAUGCAGAGACAUUCUUAGAAUUUCUAAUGACACCUUUAUAGAUUUCUCGUUUAAUAUCGCUACUACAUUUGAAUCACUUUUACCUAACGGUGUCACAUAGUCUCGUUGGAAAUUUGUCAGAUUCCUUAAAAUGAUCACUGAAAAUUUUCCUAAAUUUCCAAGAAUUUAUUUAUCACGAGGUAAAGAAAAUGUGUAUUAGAAAGAUGAGAUCGAAGGUUUACCAUUUUUUCAAUUAUGGCGAACGCAAUAUGUAAUCAAUGAAAAUUUUAUAUUUUCACGUUGAAAGUUUCUUCAGAUAAUUAUUAUCCAGAUGAUGACUAACUCUUACGAAUUAAUGCGUGUCUGUAGGAUAAUCCGGUAGACUUGAUCCGCUUUUUAUAUCGAAAGUUGAGCAAUCGGUGACGCGUUCUUAUACACCGAACCGCGAAAAGCAAAAUUUCAUAUGAUCUCACCAAUUUCGGAUGUCAGUCAAAUCAGUCAAAUCAGUCAAAUAAUAAGUUCGCGUUAAUAUACACGUUCGAUUUUUGAAAAGCUUGUUCAAUUUAAUAAGAGUCUUGGUAACAGGCUUAUGUUUUUAGACCUAAUUGGUUGUUUUCAUUUACAAGUACCUCGUGUUAAAGUACUCAUAAAAUGACAUUAAAAUCAGAAAACUAAUAACUGAAAGAUUAUCAUUUUUCCUCUGUGGUAGUUUACAUAUAACAUAAUGCAACUAACAUGUCACGAUUAAUGCAAAAUAAAUAAAUUACUAAUAUAGAGAUUUUUUUAGUAAUUUGUAUAAUCGUGAAACGAAUUGGACUUUCUAAAGGCAAAUAUUAAAGGAAACAUGGAAUUGAUGCCAAAUCUAUCACAAAUAUUAUUUAUACUACUUAUUUGCGCAGUUUGAAGCGAAUCAAAUUGAUGAAGGUUUCUUUGUUACAUGUUAAUUUACAUUUUAAAAGACAUAACAGGCACGCUAAUUAGUUUGCUUAAGAUACUUUCGAGAUACCAAGUUAGACGCGUUUCCAUGAAAUCAUAUCAAUUUUACGAUGAUAUUUUUCUAUCAAGCAUGCAAUUAUAACCGUAUCGUUGAUUGGUGCAUACAAUUAUCCAUGUACAUUCGUCUUUCCGAGUACCGCGCUUCAAUAUUGCUAAUUUCAAAUUCGUACAUUAAUGUUCGUAAAUGCUUGAAAAUGCUAUAUAACUGUAUCAGCUUCUGUUAAAAGCAUUUUAUAGUAAAAUCUCUAUAAAUUUGUAAUAUUUUUUAGACAAUUUGAAUUCAUUAUAUUAUACAUCAUACAUUCUAGUCAUUUCUAAUUAAGUUACUUUUGCGAUGUUUAAUUAUAUUUUAUGUAUAUCCUUAUAACUCUCUAUGUUACGGCGCGUACGAUGGUCCGUGCGCCGUCUGAAGCUUUAUACUAUAUACUGAUCUACUACAUACUAUAUACUAUAAACUGAAUCCUUUGACGUAAUCUUAAUAGCUUGAAGGAAUCUCUAACCCUGUAAGUGUUUUCGGUUUAUGGAUGGUCCUUAGAACAAUACUUAGGUUUAUUGCGCACUCUUACAAAUAACGGAGAAAGCGGAUAGUUAUUUUUCCAAUAAACAAUGUCACCCACGAGCCACGUUGGUAGGAGGCUUCCUCCUCCUAUCUUCGUUCAUUAACGUUGGCUAUAAUCAAUGGGCACCCUCACUUUCCUAACGAAAAGUGUGAACAACGAAUCCGCGUUCUUCGUUCAGAAAGCACACCCACACUGAGAUUUCCUCUCGUGGCGGCACACGAGAACGCAAAUCUCACCACUCGAAACCAACUAGUGUCGGACGACGGCAGCGCAGUGGUUAGCGCCAUAGAGUACAAACGUUCGGAUCCCGGGUUCAAAUCCCGGCGCCUCAUACUUUUCCAAAGUCCGAUGUUUCUUCCACGACAUCUAAAUAAGAAGGAAAUACAGCAGUACUACACCCCGGCAAGCGACAUCUACAGCCAGCAGCCUACAAUUAUCACGGAUAUAUGAAGGAAGACGGAGGAAAAGAAGAAAAAUAGUGUGUUUCGUCCAGAGCCUGCUAGUGGACUCAUCAGUAAGGCUUACCUAGCAGGCUCAUGCCUUAGACACAAUGGAAGGAGGGGGAAACAAAGCUAUGUACAUGGCAGAGACAUUGAAGACGGAUUCCUCCCUCCCACGGCCGGACACUGUAUCCAAGGCCGGUCGGAUCUCCUACCCUCUCUUGCGACGUAUCCCAGUGGAGCGGCCCCACUCUUAAUCUAGUUUGGUGGGAAAGGUUCGCGUACACACCGUGUGUAAGAACUAUUAAAAA